AACAAACGCUGGCGGCGUGCCUAACACAUGCAAGUCGAACGAGAAAGUCGGUUUCGGCCGAUGAGUAAAGUGGCGCACGGGUGAGUAACGCGUGGAUAAUCUACCCUUUAGUCCGGAAUAACUUGCCGAAAGGUGAACUAAUACCGGAUGACAUCCCGGGUUCUCCGGAAACCGGGAUCAAAGAAGGCCUCUGCUUGCAAGCUUUUGCUGAAGGAUGAGUCCGCGUACCAUUAGCUAGUUGGUGGGGUAAUGGCCUACCAAGGUUAUGAUGGUUAGCUGGUCUGAGAGGAUGAUCAGCCACACUGGAACUGAAACACGGUCCAGACUCCUACGGGAGGCAGCAGUGAGGAAUAUUGCGCAAUGGGGGCAACCCUGACGCAGCAACGCCGCGUGAGUGAGGAAGGUUUUCGGAUUGUAAAGCUCUGUCGAGCGGAAAGAAAUGCACGAUGGCUAAUAUCCAUCAUGCUUGACGGUACCGCUAGAGGAAGCACCGGCUAA
rnacentral:rRNA from 1 species